rnacentral:rRNA from 1 species
UUGACCUCGGAUCAGGUAGGGAUACCCGCUGAACUUAAGCAUAUCAAUAAGCGGAGGAAAAGAAACCAACCGGGAUUGCCCUAGUAACGGCGAGUGAAGCGGCAAGAGCUCAAAUUUGAAAGCUGGCCCCCUCGGGGUCCGCAUUGUAAUUUGCAGAGGAUGCUUCGGGAACGGCCCCCAUCUAAGUGCCCUGGAACGGGCCGUCAUAGAGGGUGAGAAUCCCGUCUGGGAUGGGGUGGCCGCGCCCGUGUGAAGCUCCUUCGACGAGUCGAGUUGUUUGGGAAUGCAGCUCUAAUUGGGUGGUAAAUUUCAUCUAAAGCUAAAUAUUGGCCGGAGACCGAUAGCGCACAAGUAGAGUGAUCGAAAGAUGAAAAGCACUUUGAAAAGAGAGUUAAACAGCACGUGAAAUUGUUGAAAGGGAAGCGCUUGCGACCAGACUCGCCCGCGGGGUUCAGCCGGCACUCGUGCCGGUGUACUUCCCCGCGGGCGGGCCAGCGUCGGUUUGGGCGGCCGGUCAAAGGCCUCUGGAAGGUAACGCCUCUCGGGGCGUCUUAUAGCCAGGGGUGCCAUGCGGCCUGCCCGGACCGAGGAACGCGCUUCGGCUCGGACGC